GAGGAUGUAGCUCAGUUGGUUAGAGCGCCAGAUUGUGGUUCUGGAAGUCGGGGGUUCGAUUCCCCUCAUCCUCC
rnacentral:tRNA from 1 species